rnacentral:lncRNA from 1 species
AAAUAUCUUCUCCUUUACAGUAUUGUUGAAAAUCACUUUUAUCUUCUACCGCAAAAUGUAAAAUCUUAGUAUGUGAAGUUUUUGAUACAUUGUAGAAUCAAAAGAAGUAGGAGUAUUAUAAAUUCCAAUUCAAAAGGUUUUCGACGAUUUUACAUUUAUUGAUGACAUCAAAAGUAAUUUAGCGCCAAACAAGUAAUGUUAUUGUAUACAAUUAUGAUACAAUGCAUCAAAUUUUAGACUUAGUUUUGCAUCGAUUUAACUAUCUUGAGAUUAGAACAUGGGUGAACAACUGUGACCUUAAUUUGUGACUUCAUGAUAUCAGAAUAGUUAUCAUAUUUGUAAUUUAACCAAAAAAAGCGCUUCGGAAACAUAAAAUUCAUAUAAUAUAAAUAAAAGAAUAUUUUAUUCUUUUCGUUGACUAUUAGCAGACAACUUCUAAAACAGAAAAGAAAAUACAAUAACUUUAUGAGAUGCUGUCUAACUUACCCGUACCUAAACUGUGACAAUGAUUUUUCUUUUAUGUAGAACUUAUUAUUGACAUUUUUUUCGAUAAUUGUAAAAUCUUUUGUGAUAUUAAUGAGACCUGG